GUUAUUACUGUGAAGCCCAGAACAGAAGAGGACGUCAUAACUCCACCUUACAUUUGAUUGUUGUAGUAGGAAAAUUACCAGUAAUACUGAAUGUCAUCAGAUUAACUUUGGUGGUGCUGGUGCUGAUUCCUCUGCUUCUUUUGAUUCUGUGUAUGAGGAAGAAGAAACUCUUCAGCUGUGGGACUGAACCAAAUGAACCUGUGGAGGCUGUAGAGAUGCAAGAAAACCUCAGACAUGACUCUUCUAUUUCAAACUAGAAGUUAUCCUAAGUUGGCACAUAGGUGUGGUGGUUAACACUGAUGCCUCCACGUGAGAAGGUCUGGGUCCAGGUUUGAGUCCAGGUUCAGCUCUUUCUGUGUGGAGUUCACUGUUCUCCCUGUGUCUGCGUUGGU